GUGCCAGCCGCCGCGGUAACUACGGAGGACUCCGAGCAGUUAUCCGGACUUUACUUGGGUUUACACACGGGUGCGCAGGCGGCGUUUUAACGUCAGUGGUAAAACUCGUGGGGCUCAACCCCAUCCUGCCAUUGAUACUGGAGCGCUUGAUUGCGGUCGAGGUUUGCGGAAUUCGUCGUGUAGCGGUGAAAUGCAUAGAUAUGACGAAGAACACCGAUUGCGUAGGCAGCAGACCAGUCCGUAAAUGACGCUCAUGCACGAAAGUGCGGGGAUCGAACAGGAUUAGAUACCCUGGUAGUCCGCACAGUAAACGAUGAAUACUUGCUUUUGGCGAUAUUAGUGUCAGAGGCAAAGCGAAAGCGAUAAGUAUUCCACCUGGGGAGUACGCCGGCAACGGUGAAACUCAAAGGAAUUGACGGGGGCCCGCACAAGCGGAGGAACAUGUGGUUUAAUUCGAUGCUACGCGAGGAACCUUACCCGGGCUUGAAAGUUAGCGACGGAUGCGGAAACGCAUCUUCCCUUCGGGGCGCGAAACUAGGUGCUGCAUGGUUGUCGUCAGCUCGUGCCGUGAGGUGUCGGCUUAAGUGCCAUAACGAGCGCAACCCUUUUCCGUAGUUACCAUCAUUUAGUUGGGGACUCUGCGGACACUGCCAUCGUAAGAUGCGAGGAAGGAUGGGAUGACGUCAAAUCAGCACGGCCCUUACGUCCGGGGCGACACACGUGUUACAAUGGGCAGGACAGAAGGAUCGAGGCGGUGACGCUGAGGGAAUUUCGAAACCUGUUCCCAGUUCGGAUCGGAGUCUGCAACCCGACUCCGUGAAGCUGGAUUCGCUAGUAAUCGCGCAUCAGCCAUGGCGCGGUGAAUACGUUCCCGGGCCUUGUACACACCGCCCGA
rnacentral:rRNA from 1 species